CCUGAGAAAUGGCUACAACAUCUAAGGAAGGCAGCAGGCGCGUAAAUUACCCAAUCCUAAUUCAGGGAGGUAGUGACAAGAAAUAACAACUCGGACCUCACUCGAGGUUACGAGAUUGCAAUGAGAACAAUUUAAACCUCUUAUCGAGUAACAAUUGGAGGGCAAGUCUGGUGCCAGCAGCCGCGGUAAUUCCAGCUCCAAUAGCGUAUAUUAAAGUUGUUGCAGUUAAAAAGCUCGUAGUUGAAUAUCUGGCCGGUGCUGUUCUUGGCUCCCUGAGUCGGCUCAGCGCCUGGUCAUCCGUAUGGGAAACUAGCUUGACCUUCACUGGUCGGCUAGUGGAUCAUACACUUACUUUGAAAAAAUUAGAGUGUUUCAGGCAGGCAAUUGCUUGGAUACUGUAGCAUGGAAUAAUGGAAUAGGACUUUGACCUAUUUGUUGGUUUCUCGAGGUCAAAGUAAUGAUUAAUAGGGACAGUUGGGGGCAUUCGUAUUUAAUUGUCAGAGGUGAAAUUCUUGGAUUUUUUAAAGACGAACUUAUGCGAAAGCAUUUGCCAAGGAUGUUUUCA
rnacentral:rRNA from 1 species